rnacentral:ncRNA from 1 species
UAUGGUAGAGGUGCAGAAAACAUCAGUAUUUGUGCAUAAGACGGGCGGUCGGCACAGAAGAAAGGGUUUUUUGCCGAAGCUUGUAUAAUUUCUGCCCGAGGUUUGCAGGCUGGGCCGGCUGUAAAAUAUGCAGCGGACUGUCACUUAUGUGGAGAGCUAUCAU